AAAAAGAAAAAGGGUGAGCUCAACUAGCCCAGUAAAGAAUAUUAUGACUAAGAUAAUAUACAACAAAUUAUCGUUAGUCUUCAACAAGGAAAAAUUUAAUAGAAUACAAUAGACAACAAGUUUUAAAUCAAUACUCGCAGCGAAAAAUAUUAAUUCAUAGAAGAGUUACGUAGAGGAUGAAAUCUACUAAUAUCUAUGAAUUUAACAGUCCAUCAUCAAUAUUUUUAUCCCU
rnacentral:lncRNA from 1 species